AUGAACGUUGGCGGCGUGGAUUAGGCAUGCGAGUCGUACGAGAACCCGCAAGGGGGAAAGUGGCGAACGGGGUAGUAAUGCGUAGGUGACGUGCCCUGCGGUCGGGGAUAGCUUAGGGAAACUUAAGGUAAUACCCGAUGACACCAUGCGGUUUGAAUACCAUAUGGUCAAAGGUGUGAUUCCACCACAGGAGCGGCUUGCGUGGUAUUAGCUAGUUGGUGAGGUAACGGCUCACCAAGGCAACGAUGCCUAGGGGAUGUUAGCGCAUGAUCCCCACCACUGGGACUGAGAUACUGCCCAGACACCUACGGGUGGCUGCAGUCGAGAAUCUUCGGCAAUGGGGGAAACCCUGACCGAGCGACGCCGCGUGUGGGAUGAAGGCCCUUGGGUUGUAAACCACUGUCAGAGGGGAUGAAAUGCUAGAGAGCUAUCUCUCUAGUUUGACAUAGCCUCAGAGGAAGCACGGGCUAAGUUCGU
rnacentral:rRNA from 1 species